rnacentral:rRNA from 1 species
CCUACGGGAGCAGCAGUGGGGAAUAUUGGGCAAUGGAGGAAACUCUGACCCAGCGACGCCGCGUGCGGGACGAAGGCCUUCGGGUUGUAAACCGCUUUCAGCAGGGAAGAAGCGAAAGUGACGGUACCUGCAGAAGAAGCACCGGCUAACUAUGUGCCAGCAGCCGCGGUAAUACAUAGGGUGCAAGCGUUGUCCGGAAUUAUUGGGCGUAAAGAGCUCGUAGGUGGUUCGUCACGUCGGAUGUGAAAAUCUGGGGCUUAACCCCAGACCUGCAUUCGAUACGGGCGAGCUUGAGUAUGGUAGGGGAGUCUGGAAUUCCUGGUGUAGCGGUGGAAUGCGCAGAUAUCAGGAGGAACACCAAUGGCGAAGGCAGGACUCUGGGCCAUUACUGACACUGAGGAGCGAAAGCGUGGGGAGCGAACAGGAUUAGAUACCCUGGUAGUCCACGCCGUAAACGGUGGGCACUAGUUGUGGGGACCUUCCACGGUCUCUGCGACGCNGCUACGCAUAGUGCCCGCCGUCGGGGUACGGAGUCGCGAGAGUUAAACGUAACGUAAAGUAAGUUAGACGGUCGUUGAGACGUUGCCGACGGCGACGACGAGGGAGGAGG